AAGCUCGUAGUUGAAUCUUGGGCCUGGCUGGCCGGUCCGCCUCACCGCGUGUACUGGUCCGGCCGGGUCUUUCACUCUGCGGAACCACAUGCCCUUCAGUGGGCGUGGCGGGGAAGCAGGACUUUUACUUUGAAAAAAUUAGAGUGCUCUAAGCAGGCCAAUGCUCGAAUACAUUAGCAUGGAAUAAUAAAAUAGGACGCGCGGUUCUAUUUUGUUGGUUUCUAGGACCGCCGUAAUGAUGAAUAGGGACAGUCGGGGGCAUCAGUAUCCAGUUGUCAGAGGUGAAAUUCUUGGAUCUACUGAAGACUAACUACUGCGAAAGCAUUUGCCAAGGAUGUUUUCAUUAAUCAGGAACGAAAGUUAGGGGAUCGAAGACGAUCAGAUACCGUCGUAGUCUUAACCAUAAACUAUGCCGACUAGGGAUCGGACGAUGUUAUUUAGUUGACUCGUUCGGCA
rnacentral:rRNA from 1 species